rnacentral:tRNA from 1 species
AUCAUAUAUAAGAUAUAAAAUCUGAAGGUUUGUGGAACCUUUAAUACCGGCAUUUGGUUUAUGAUC